rnacentral:lncRNA from 1 species
CUGUCUGUCCGUCUGUCCGUCCGUCCGUCCGUCCGUCUUGUUUGUCGGUUAGUUCUCAAAAACUAUAAGAGAUAGAGCCACCAAAUGUUGGCUCCGGACUGCUGUAUGCUCACACUGAAACCAGUGUAUUUCAAAAAUUAGCCCCGCCCCCUUCCGCCUCCGCAAAAGGGCAAAAACCUCCCAAACCUACAGUACAUAUCUAUCAGAUCACCAAAUUGUUAUCCGAUCGGAUCAUUAUUAUAGCAACAAUGGAGAAAUUAAUAUCCAGUGGCUAAACCCACCCUGUCCCGCAGCUUUUGUUGUUCUUUUUACAUUCUCUCAUUCACACUCGGCUUCUGCCUCACUCGGCCCCUGCCUCUGCCCUCCCCCUGCCUGUAUAAAAGUUGUGACGUUGUGCGUCUCACACGUCACUUCUCGUUUUAUAUUUUUUUUUUUUGAAAGCUCCAGCUACACUCUGCUCUACUCCACAAGUGUU